UUAUGAUUUCUCUUUAUUUUCUCCUUAUUUCAUCUUCUUCAGGAGCCACAGCAGUUGCGGCCAUGAUCUGGACCAACGACAGCACGUCAACACCGGGACUAUGGAUUGUGGUAGGUGCUCAAGUGCAAGGAUUUACCCCAAAAUUGCAGCCACACAAUCCUCCCAUUCCCACCGUUCACAAAACCCUCUACCACCACUACAUAUUUAUUCAUUAGUAUUUUGGUUGUUGUAGUAUAAUGAUGUUCUUCAUUACAAAGCAACUUCCCGGCC
rnacentral:lncRNA from 1 species